AUGAAUCACUUAGUGUGAAACUACCGAGGGGUGGGGAACCGCCGGACAGUUCGAGAGUAGUUGGCGCUCACUCAAGCCAAUAUCCCCAAGCUUGUAUUCUUAUGUGAAACUAGGUAAGCUUCAGUUCGGGUGGAAAGGUUGAAAGGUCGACUUGGUAUGAGAGGAUUUUGUGCAGUGGACACUCAAGGGCUCAGUGGGGGGCUUGCUUCAUUUUGGGAUGAAUUGUUGCAAGUUAAUGUUCUAGAUAAAUGUGACAGAUAUAUUUAUGUUCGUGUGUUGAUCCAGGUAGUGAUCUAG
rnacentral:rRNA from 1 species